rnacentral:rRNA from 1 species
AUGUCAAGUGGUUUGCUUGCCGGUGCUCCUUGCAUUUUAGUAGGGGAUUUCAACUUGAUUGCUAGAGCCACAGACAAGAAUAACCUGAACAUCAACAGAAGGUUGUUGGCUGCUUUUAGAAAUUUUAUCAAUGAGUUGCAGCUUCGAGAUCUGUACCUACAUGGCCGGUGCUAUACUUGGAGCAACGAGCAGGCAAAUGCCACCAUGGUCAAGAUGGAUAGAGUUCUCUUUAAUGAGGAAUGGGAUGCUCUGUUUCCUAGUUGUCUGCUACAAGCACUUUCUACCGAGAUGUCCGACCACUGUCCCUUGCUCCUUUCAUGUGAUGUUGAUUUCAAGCCAUUUCGAAGAUUCAGAUUUGAG